GACGAACGCUGGCGGCGUGCCUAACACAUGCAAGUCGAACGAGAAUCUUUGAACAGAUCUUUUCGGAGUGACGUUCAAAGAGGAAAGUGGCGGACGGGCGAGUAACGCGUGAGUAACCUGCCCAUAAGAGGGGGAUAAUCCAUGGAAACGUGGACUAAUACCGCAUAUUGUAAUUAAGUUGCAUGACUUGAUUAUGAAAGAUUUAUCGCUUAUGGAUGGACUCGCGUCAGAUUAGAUAGUUGGUGAGGUAACGGCUCACCAAGUCAACGAUCUGUAGCCGAACUGAGAGGUUGAUCGGCCGCAUUGGGACUGAGACACGGCCCAGACUCCUACGGGAGGCAGCAGUGGGGAAUAUUGCGCAAUGGGGGCAACCCUGACGCAGCAACGCCGCGUGCAGGAAGAAGGUCUUCGGAUUGUAAACUGUUGUCGCAAGGGAAGAAGACAGUGACGGUACCUUGUGAGAAAGUCACGGCUAACUACGUGCCAGCAGCCGCGGUAAUACGUAGGUGACAAGCGUUGUCCGGAUUUACUGGGUGUAAAGGGCGCGUAGGCGGACUGUCAAGUCAGUCGUGAAAUACCGGGGCUUAACCCCGGGGCUGCGAUUGAAACUGACAGCCUUGAGUAUCGGAGAGGAAAGCGGAAUUCCUAGUGUAGCGGU
rnacentral:rRNA from 1 species